UAUGUGAUCGUCUCUCGCAUAUCAAUAAGCGGAGGAAAAGAAACUAACAAGGAUUCCCUUAGUAACGGCGAGUGAAGCGGGAAGAGCUCAAAUUUGAAAUCUUCAAGGUUUUACCUUGACGAAUUGUAGUUUAAAGAAGUGUUUUCUGUUGAAGUUUUGGUAAAAGUUCUUUGGAAUAGGACAUCAUAGAGGGUGAGAAUCCCGUAUUUGACCAUUAUUUUCAGCUGUGUGAUACACUUUCAAAGAGUCGGAUUGUUUGGGAAUGCAGUCCAAAAUGGGUGGUAAAUUUCAUCUAAAGCUAAAUAUUGGCGAGAGACCGAUAGCGAACAAGUACCGUGAGGGAAAGAUGAAAAGAACUUUGAAAAGAGAGUUAAACAGUACGUGAAAUUGUCAAAAGGGAAGCGUUUGACACCAGUGUUGUUUUCUCGAAAAUCAAUUAAAAAGAGCUUAGAUUUUGUUGUGUAUUGACCUUAACAGCUUGCAUUUCAAUUUUCUUGCUUUUUUUAAUGCACUUUUCGUUUAACAAGUCAACAUCAGUUUCUUUUGUUGUAAAAAGGUCAUUGGAAGGUGGCUUUCUUUUCGGAGAAAGUGUUUAUAGCCUUUGACUCCUGCAAUCGGAGAGACUGAGGUCUGCAGCGUAGAUCCUUCGGGGUUAGAUACAUUUGUGCUAAGUUAUAGCUUUUUAUAGACAACUUGUUGACUAUGAUUAGUCUUGUAGCUUACUCGCUUAUGCUAUUUUACCUACGCUUAGGAUGUUGAAGAUGUAGCACAUCAU
rnacentral:rRNA from 1 species